AACGAACGCUGGCGGCAUGCCUAACACAUGCAAGUCGAACGAGACCUUCGGGUCUAGUGGCGCACGGGUGCGUAACGCGUGGGAACCUGCCCUUAGGUCCGGAAUAACUCCCCGAAAGGGGUGCUAAUACCGGAUAAUGUCUUCGGACCAAAGAUUUAUCGCCUUUGGAUGGGCCCGCGUUGGAUUAGCUAGUUGGUAGGGUAAAAGCCUACCAAGGCGACGAUCCAUAGCUGGUCUGAGAGGAUGAUCAGCCACACUGGGACUGAGACACAGCCCAGACUCCUACGGGAGGCAGCAGUGGGGAAUAUUGGACAAUGGGCGAAAGCCUGAUCCAGCAAUGCCGCGUGAGUGAUGAAGGCCUUAGGGUUGUAAAGCUCUUUUACCCGGGAUGAUAAUGACAGUACCGGGAGAAUAAGCUCCGGCUAACUCCGUG
rnacentral:rRNA from 1 species